rnacentral:snoRNA from 1 species
CAAGUCUGUCAUUGAUGAUCUAUUUGUUUCUUGCUUUAGUUUAGCGACCAUUAGAAAACUCACAUUCACUACCAUCUUAGACUUA